ensembl:lincRNA Gm5547 predicted gene 5547
AAACUGCUUCACUUCUGAGAGACCAGGGCCCUUUCCAGUAGCUUUAGGGAUGCUGUCCAUGACCCAAACUUGGAGGAGGACAAGUGAAUGUAUCUCAUAAAGGAGAAGGCUGGGAAGCCAAGGCGGAGAAGGACAUGUGAGACUGGGCAGGCUUCAGCUGUCAUCUGUGGGAAGUGGCUUUUGGUUGACCAGCGGUACUUCCCAGUGUCAGCACGUGUGUUGUGUCGGCAGCUCAGACCUUGCGCUGAGGGGCCCCUGUCCUCAGCCACCCUUCAUCUUGGGAAAACUCUCUGGUGUAGAGCAGGGAGUUGCCUUGCUGAAGUGCCCGCUCUGAAUGAAGAAGAACUGGGUCCUGCAGUCUGUCCACAGGAAGAAGACUGUCUGUGAGCACAGUCUCCAUGUUCACUGUCUCAUGCCGUCCCUGAUAUCAUGGAGGAAAUGAAUGGUCAUUUAAGAAUCCUCAUUGGCUAAAGAGCUGGUGGUUUAAAUGAAUGAAUCUAAUUGCAAACUGUGAAGGGCUGGUCCUGGUAUUAAGAAGAUGGACGAUUCUGUGAAGGGAAUGUGCUAAGACUUGUUUGUUGAAAAUGGAAUUAUUAAUGGCUUGUCAGUAAAAUUAAGAAUGCCUUAAAUCAUUCCUCUCUUACUCUAUUCAUAGAAGAAAUAAAACAGAUGAAUUUAUAAAGG